UAUUGAGAAUUAGUUCAUAUCUUUAGAUUUUUUUUCAAUUAUUUCUUUUUUUGGGUUAAUUUCAUGUAUGUUUCUGCAAAUAUAAUGAAUGAAAAAUAUAUUCCUAUAAAAUUCAACUUUCAUAUAUUGUUCCUACAAAAGUCAUAAUGUUUUCAAAUAUUUUCAUAUGAUUUGUUAUCAUUAAAAAAUCGUAUAUAUUUUUAAUUUUGUCAUCAUAAAUAUAUCCCUCCAAAAAUCAUUAUAAUAUAACAUAAAGGAAUAAAAAUAUAAAAAACUAACUAUGAUUAAAUAUUUAACCUAUGGUUAACUAACAUUUUUUAACGAAUUCUAACGGGAGGAACAUAUUUGAAAACAUAAGAACUUCUACAGAAACAAAAUAAAAAAGUUGAACUUUAUAAGGAUUUAUUUGCUAUUUACUAUAUUUGUACGGACAUGUAUGAAAUUAAUCCUAUUUUUAAUAGUAGAGGA
rnacentral:lncRNA from 1 species